rnacentral:rRNA from 1 species
GACGAACGCUGACGGUGUGCUUUAGACAUGCAAGUCGAACGAGAAAGCCCUUCGGGGUUAGUAAAGUGGCGAACGGGUGAGUAACACGUGGGCAAUCUGCCCCUCCGCAGGGGGACGAACCGGAGGAAACUCCGGCUAAUACCCCGUAAGUUCAAAGGGAGGCAUCUCUCUUCGAAGAAAGGUAGCUUCGGCCAUCCGGCGAGGGAUGAGCCCGCGGUGCAUUAGCUAGUUGGUGGGGUAACGGCCUACCAAGGCGACGAUGCAUAGCUGGUCUGAGAGGAUGAUCAGCCACACUGGGACUGAGACACGGCCCAGACUCCUACGGGAGGCAGCAGUCGGGAAUCUUGCGCAAUGGGCGAAAGCCUGACGCAGCAACACCGUGUGUGUGAGGAAGGCCCUC